rnacentral:rRNA from 1 species
CAAUAGCGUAUACUAAUGUUGCUGCAGUUAAAAAGCUCGUAGUUGGAUUUCUGGCUUUGGCGCACCCGGCCCAACCUAUGGUUUGGGUGCCGGCGUGCGCCGGCCAUUCCCUCCAGGCGAUCUGUUCUGCCAUUGAUUUGGUUGGGGCAGGGAGCUUGGUCUUUCACUGUGAAUAAAUUAGAGUGUUCAAAGCAGGCCGCAGUGCCGUGAAUAGCCCAGCAUGGAAUGAUAAGAUAGGGCUUCGGGCUUCUCGGCUUUCGGGUCGAGGGGCUACCCUGUUUUGUUGGUUUUAAGGGCCGGAGUAAUGAUUGAUAGGGAGCGUUGGGGGUGCUAGUAUUCAACGGCCAGAGGUGAAAUUCUUGGAUUCGUUGAAGACUAACAUCAGCGAAAGCAUUCACCAAGGAGCUUCUCUUUAA